CCCUUAGAUGUUCUGGGCCGCACACGCGCUACACUGAAGGAGGCAGCGUGUACUCCUGGAUCGAAAGAUUUGGGUAACCCGCGAAUCUCCUUCGUGCUGGGGAUUGAGGUUUGCAAUUAUCCUUCAUGAACGAGGAAUUCCCAGUAAGUGCAAGUCAUAAGCUUGCGCUGACUACGUCCCUGCCCUUUGUACACACCGCCCGUCGCUACUACCGAUUGAAUGAUUUAGUGAGGACUUCGGACUGGGACCGAUGCGGCUUUCGGGCUGCGUCGGUAUUCUGGAAAGAUGUCCAAACUGUAUCAUUUAGAGGAAGUAAAANUCGUAACA
rnacentral:rRNA from 1 species